rnacentral:misc_RNA from 1 species
UCUCUCUCUCUCUCUCUCUCAAUGGAGGAGAUUCAACAUAAGUUUGUUGGCAUAAGAGGGGUGAAGCUUCAUAUUGCCGAGAUUGGAACAGGCUCUUCAGCAGUGGUUUUCAUACAUGGGUUCCCUGAGAUUUGGUAUUCAUGGAGACACCAAAUGCUUGCAGUUGCGAAUGCUGGAUACCAUGCAAUUGCUCCAGAUUUAAGAGGCUAUGGAUUAUCUGAGCAUCAUCGAGGACCUGAAAAGGCAUCCUUCAAUGACUUUGUGGAGGACACCAUUUGUAUCCUUGAGUAUUUUCAGAUUGAGAAGGCAUUCCUGGUUGGAAAAGAUUUUGGUUCCUGGCCUGUUUAUCUACUCUCCCUUCUCCACCCAACAAGAAUUGCUGGAGUUGUAUCAUUAGGUGUGCCAUUCUUUGUUCCGAGGCCCCAGCGAUACAAGGAACUUCCUGAAGGUUUCUACAUCACUAGGUGGAAGGAACCUGGACGAGCUGAGACUGACUUUGGAAGAUUUGAUGUGAAAACUGUAUGGAGGAAUAUUUACAUACUCUUUUCAAGAAGUGAAAUUCCCAUAGCAGAGAAAGAUAAGGAGAUCAUGGACUUGGUGGAUCCAUCCACCCCUCUACCACCAUGGUUGAGCAAUGAGGAUCUUGCUGUCUAUACAACAUCAUAUGAAAAAUCUGGAUUUGAUUCUCCAAUGCAAGUCCCUUACAAAGGACUGCGAGAAGACUUCGACAUGGAUGACCCAAAAGUUGAGGUUCCAGUGCUGCUAAUCAUGGGAGGGAAAGAUUAUUUCCUUAAAUUCCCAGGGAUUGAGGACUACAUAACAAGUGGAAAAGUAAAGGAUUAUGUUUCUAAUUUAGAUAUGAAGACCUUGCAGGAUGGUACCCAUUUCAUUCAAGAGCAAUUUCCAGACCAGGUGAAUCAGUUAAUCAUCAACUUCCUUGAGAAGCAUUCUUGUUAAAAUAAUUUCUUCUUGCAAGUGAAGAAAUCUUGGGCAUUUGGCUGUUCUGGAAACUACAUUGGAAAUCUAUGUACACUCAAGUUGAUAUCUAUUAUUAUAAAAUUACAUUCAUAUUAAUAAUUUUGAUUGCCCAAAGGGCCACAACCCACCUCUGCCAGUGUCCUUAAACUACAGAAAUGUGAAUAGUCGUGGCACUUUUUCAUACAACCAGGGUUGAAAAGUUACUACAUUUCUGACAUUAGAGGAACCAUAGACAAAGGUCAGUACACAAAUUUGCCUUUUACAAUACACAAUACAUUAAAGAGUUCUGACUACAUACUGACUAAAACAUCUUUAACUCACUUGAGAAAGCAAAACAAAAGGGUAUGUUUGCAAACAGAAAUAAUAUGGGUUGAGGGGGAAAAUUACAAAAACAAAUUACAUAGAUAAUGCACAAAGGAAUAUAAUUUGAUUCUACUAUUCUACUAUCAUUUUUGUAUACAAGCGUCUCAGCCUGCACCAUACAGAAAGAAUAUUGUAGAAAAAGGGAAAGAAACAAAAAGGCGGGGAAAAAGAAUUCCCAAAAGUCAAUCAGAUAAAUUGCAGGCAGGUAGUCAGCUUUGAUGGAUGUGCAGUGUGCUGGAGCAAUCUAAGGAGACAUUGUUUACAACAGAAGUUUAUCUGACAGGAAGGAAGAGGCUGUACAAAAUUUGCAUUCCUUGAGCCUUCAAGGUAUCCUACACGAUUCGAUUACUUCACUCACAGCUUUAUGAGUCUCUGGUGGUAUCAUGUUUAAUGUCAAAUGAAAUGCCACAAAUCUCUCCAAGACAGGAACAAGAACAGCCACGCUGUGAUUUGGAAGGCAAUCAGCUAUAGAAUCACGAAUGCUCUUACUUUCUGUUGAAAGGAAUGCAAGUAGGAGUGCUGCAUAAGCUUCUACAAUCAUCUUCUCAGCUUCUUUCUCUCCUUGUAGCACAGCCGCCUCAUCAUUCCAUUCUGCAAUAUUUCCUUCUCCAGAUGCAUCACCUGCACCUUGGUUCAUUAGAAAGAUUGAACACAGUAUUGGAAUUACAUCCCUAUGACUCUCCUCAUCGACCCCUUCUGAGCUAGGUAAUGAAACAGUUGUUGCUGCAAGCCUUGACCUGUUAUGACCAUCCUUCUCAACCAAGUUCACUAGUAGGCCCAAUAUAGCAACAAGGAAAUCCAACUCUUGAUCAGUAAGAUGAUUAUCAUUCUGCUUUUCAAGUUCAACACUUGUUGAAUCCUCUUUCAUCUCACUGAAGGAAGGUAAAGAUGAGCUGAAUGAAGGGAAGUGACCAGCAAUCAAAGAAGACAUAGUUUCAAGUCCUCCACAAGCAGCAAUUUGUUCACAACCAAUAGGGUUGUCAUUUGUUAAAUUCAUUAGAACCUUGACUGCAGUAAGAAGACAGUCUGCCAGAAAGCUGGAAUGUUCUUUCUCAGCAGCAUUGGUGCAAGAAUUCUCCUGUGAGAGAUGAUGUUGUUCCACUUGUCUUGAUUUUUGUUGGUGAUUUGCACCAUUACUUGAUUCUUCUAGGCUCAUUAGCUGAUAUUGGCACCCAUCUUCAAGAUCUUUUGAGAUCACACUGUGAUUUCGAGAGUGCGAUUUUUUCUGUUUUCCAGAGAGUAAGUCCCACUUCGAGGGCUGUAAUUCAUCUUCAUCAAAUGCAUAAGGAUCUUGGCUAUCCUCUAAGAGUUCACACUUGGUAUUGGUAUUUUUUGUACAAUUAGUUCUCUCAGGAAGCCCAAAUUUGGUCCUUAACCCAUUAUCAUUUACAGGUAUUCUGCUAUUAGAUCUCCUUAAUGUCCCGCUACAUGAGCUGGAUGUGGAAGAAUGGACUCUCAUCCUUAAUUGGCAAGCAUCAUUCAUGAAUGUAGAUGUAGUUUCAAAACUGGAAGCAGAAAAACUAAACUGGGAAAUAGAUUUCUGAGAUGCAUUAAAGCUCUUUUCAGAGGAGGUCCUCUCUGCACCAGAGCAAUUUGUUGAAGAACUGAUGUAUAUGAUUUCGUUACCAUUUACUUUUUGGUCUGCAAUUAAAGCCACAUCGGAAGCAUGAUAACUACCAUCAGAAAGACUGCAAUGCUUUCCAUUAUCGGAGAUAUUAGCAGCACUUUUAAGUAGAUAAAGACCAGACAGAAUUUUGACAAAACUUAUAAUAAGCUCCAUAAAAGAAAACCAGUAUCCAUGGGAAUCCAAAUUUCCUUUCAUUGCAAGCAAAUGGAUCUGAUUAUCUUUACUAAGGAAUGUAGCAUUUUCCAUGAUUUUCAAACAUUUUAGAAGUAGCACCAGGCUCUGAAAGCCUGAGUCGUCUUUUGCAUCCUGAACAGUGGCUGAACCUUGUCCGGUCCAAGUCUCCAUAACAGAAUGACAUUUCAUGGCAACCUCAAAGACAGCAUCUAGUCCUCCCAGCUCCCGUAACUUCUCCUUAAAGUUUCCACCUGUCUUCCUUACCAUGCCAGAUGUAUCUGAAAAAAUGCAAGCCACAACAAGGAAUAAAUGCACAAUUAAUAACAUCUGCCACUCAUCCCAUGAUUAAAUUAGUUGACAACAUCAAAUAUUACCAAUGUCCAUGACUAAAACAAAAAUACAUAAGAGAUGUCAUAACAAUUAGUUUCUUAUGCAUAUUACAGAAAGGAUAAUUAAUAGAAUGCCUUCAAAUGAUAUCUUAGAUAAGCAAGCUUUCUCCAUGGUCAGCAAAGCUAUCCACUUGGGGCUCAACUCUGGCCUGUCCAUUCCAUUAUCAUCCUCACCGUAUGACUUCAUGUCCUUAGAGUUAACAAGAAUUCCCUUAACUUUGCCAACAAUGUCAGCAGAGCGAGAAUCUGCCAGUUUCGUUGUAUCUCUUAAGAUAUCAGAAUCUUUGCGUAAUGCUAAAAGUUUAUUGCCAAUAUUUCGGGUUUUGUCUUCAGCAGCAGUAGAAAUAACUGGUUUCAACAAGUUAAUUAGAAAAUGAAUGCAUCCUGGUGAUUCCAAAAGGUGAUCAUCUUGACCAUCACUCGUCAAAACAUAGAAAAGAGUUGCAGCAGCCAGAUUGCUGGAGGAGUCAUCAAAGCUGAGACCCAAUACAGCAUCAAUUAUUUUCUUUGCCAACCCUUGAGCUCUCAAGAGCCGUCGCUGCUGUGCUGUACCGCAAAUCGACAAAAGAGACAACAAGCUGGCCCUCCUGAUUCUAACAGGUUGGCCUUUCCUCAACCCAUCAAGCCCAAAAUUAACCUCAUCAACAUGCUCCAUCAUCUCUCCAAAUUCCUGCGCCUCCAUCAAAGUCGAAGUCACCGGAACUAAAGACCUAGGAUUACUACUCUUUCCAGCAGGUGCAGGUCUGUCCAAUUUGCCAUUCCUCGGUUUCUUCGACUUCCUAGAAACAACGCCAUUCGACAAAGCAUUCUCCUGCGAUGAAUUGAAGCUGUAGGGAUCGGGAUCGAAGGAGGGCCAGAGAGAGGAAGAUUCUUGGGAGGAGAAGGGUAAACUGUAUAAAUCUUGACAUGGGUUUUCUUGGGAAGAGAGAGCGAAAGAGUCCCUGAAGGAGUUUUCGGGAACGGUUUCGUCAAGAGAAUCCGAGUAGGUCCUGGUUAAGCCCCGGUUGCGGCGACCAUAAGUUCUAACGAUCAUGUUUGAAUUUUCCACCGUCUAUCUUGAAGAAUAGAGGUUUGGAUUUGGCAUUACUGGAAAAAGACAGGCUUUUUUGAAAAUCUCUCUCUCUUUCCCUCAAUAUAAUCACUGGGGAAGAGAAGACUGGUUUAAGAGGCUAUGGAGAUGGUGAGCUGAAGAAAUGCGUCGAGGACAACCGCGGACGAGGAAGGAAGCCGUUUGUUGGUUAAAGUGGGUAAUUUUCCCCUUU